UUCAGAGAUGCCAACUUGCCAAGCCUUCAGACAUCCUGACAUGUCCCACCGAGAAGCAGGAGUGGGAAGGAGUGGACGACGGCGACCAUGGCGGCGAGGUCGACUCGUCCCGGCCCGCGCCGUACGGGCGGUCGCUGCCCCCCAGCAUCUCCACCACCUCCCGAGGGGCCGCGGCGACGCCGCCGCGGGUUUCCCCGCCCGGCUCCGCAUCUAUCCCGAACCGCCGUUUCGGCGGAGGGUGGGGGAUCGACCCAGGCCAGGAUGGUGGAGUACCUCGGCAUUAACUCCGAAUCGGGGGAGGGAGGGAGAGAGGUCGGGUCGCCGGCGGCUGCCUAUGCUGGCGGCUCGAGGAGGGCAGCGGUGAGGAGAUGCUUGGGAUUGGGCGGCUGCUUGUCAAGAACAAGUAGAAGGUGUUCGAUGUUUAUUUGGGCAGCAGGAUGGCUCCUGCUCUUGUCAAAUGGGACAGACAACUCACUUCUUAUAGCCUGACCAACAUGGAAAGAUUGAAAUGCCUCUGCAAAGUUCUUCACAGCAACAUAUCGGUAUGUCUCGUCACUGUGUAUCCAGUACUGUCUCUGAUCUUUCCUUGAUGUAACCUGCAUACCACAUUUCAAUUAUAGUCAGUCCACUUCAGCACUGUAGACAAUUGUGAUCCUAGCAUUAGAAAAUCUGACUUUGGGACAGAGGUUUGUACAAAUAUGUUUUUUCUAUUUCUCCGAGCAAAUCAUGUACAAAAUACUAAAAUAUGUUGAUGAUCUGCCUGUUGCACUCAUCAACAAACUUUGCAUCAAAACAUUGCCAGAUAUCUCUAGUUUUGUAUUUCGAAAGGUAUUUGAAUAUUUCAGGGUUUUACAGUAGCAAAUGCAUAAUUACAGAAAGCUUGAUAGAACAAAAAAUGAAAUUCACCUCCUGCAAGAAGUCAGCUACGCCUUUUCUCUCGGGACAUUUGAAACCCACUGAUUCAAAAAACCCGAGCACAUGUUCACGGGGGCCAUUGUAGACAACCUGACCGUCUGAGAGGAGAAUUAUAUCGUCAAACAAUUCAUAUGUCUCAGGUGCUGGUUGCAGCAAGGAAAUAACUGCUGUUCCUCCAAGAAUGUGAAUGGUUUGCCGGAUGGAGUUCACAAUCUGGAAGGUAGUCGAACUGUCAAGUCCAGUUGAUAUCUCGUCCAUGAAAAGGGCUCGUCCUGGUGUGACGAGCAUCUCAGCUGCAGAUGGGAUGGGAUGGGUGGGUUAGAUACAUAGAUCGUACAGGACACAUGGUACUUUACUUACUCCCUUGAUGUCGAUGAAUUACCUGUGGUUACUCUCUUUUUUUGCCCUCCUGAUAUUCCUCUCAACAUGUUAUUUCCUACGAUUGUGUCGGCACACAUAUCCAAUCCCAAGAUCUUUAGUAUUUGAAAAGGAAAAAUAAAGAAUCAGUAACAUAAACACAUUUUCAUAUUCUAUAAGUCAGUCCCUUCGAACUUGGGUGGAGAGUUUGCAUAUCUGUUGCUAGUUUGCACGCACCUUUAGUAUGUGAUUCGUGACCACCUCAGCUUUCUGUUCUCCUGUUGCAGCAGCCUAUAAACAAAAUGAGAGAUUAGACGUUGUGUCAAACUUUUUGAAACAUCCCCAGAUGGUCAAAAUAACUAGAGCUUAGCUCAAGGCUUAAUGAAAUGAGAAGAACUGCACCGAACCUUCAAGUAGACAUCUAUUUCUGGAUCUGGUUUGAUAUUUGCUUCCUUUUCUCUCCUCGAUAGCUCCAUCAGCAGAUCUAGUCAUUUUGCAGAAAAUAGAAAUUGACCGUCUCACGAACCGUCAGUUCACCGAUAUGCAGAUCGUUUUGGCUCACAUAAGCCGCCGACCUCCUGGGCACAAACUCGUCCAUCGUAUGCCCAUUGUAUGUUAUUUUGCCUGACAUCUGUUGGGUUUCUUAAUAUCAGUAUAUACUUGCCAGGUGCAGUAAUCAUGAUAUACUAAGAGUGAAACGAUCAACAUAUUCUUAUUGGUAAUGAGAAGAAGAAGAGCAAAAAACGGAUUAAUUACCUCAAGGCUUGAAGGGAGCGUCCCCGCCAACGCCAGGAGUAGCGUGGUUUUUCCGGCACCAGGAGGACCCAAAAGCAAGGUCAUCCUAGCAAGAGCAGGGAUGAGGUAAAGAGAAUUUGCCAUUCCCUGUUUGAAGUCGAUUACGCCAUGUCAAUCGGUGCGCAUACCACAUAAUAGAGAAACGAAAAUCUAAGGUCAUGUGAGCAUCCUCGAUCGACGUCUAUCGACUAGCUCCUGACAUUGUGUUGUUCCAGUGGUCGUUGGGUGUUACUUGUAGUUGUAUCAUCUUGAUAUUAAUAUUUUUUGUUAGAAAAGAUAUUAAUAUAUUGUUUUUUUUA